CUGAAGCAUCUUCCAUGACAAUUUUUUUUCCAGUGAAUGAAGAAUGUUAUAAACUCUGAUUGCCUGCACUUAAUUUCUGGAAGUUACUGAGGGUUUGCAGUGCUUAUUGUCUGUAUUUGAGAAAUGUACUGAUGACACUAAAAGAUGUUAAUUUAACUGUAUGUUCAAGAGGCAAGCUAGAAGUUAAUUCUAGAAGUAAAACUAGAAGUAUGUUCAAGAAGACAAAUUAGUAUUUUGGUCGUGUGUGUGUGUGUGUGUGUGUGUGUGUGUGUGUGUUUUAUUACUUGUGCUGUUGCCUGGGCAUGCCAAGAUUUGUUUUAACUAGAAGAUAUUGUUUAAGUUCAUUCAGUACAUUUUAUGUCAUUUUCUCCUAGUAAAGAGCUGAAGAAGAAUGAAGGGGCAAGGAACCAAAUAUACAGAAGUGAAAUGACAAAUUAAACCAAAUGGAAUUUCUCUUCAGAGUUCAGAAAUUUCAGAUGGCCAGGAAGAAAGGAAGGCUCUACUAUUUCUUAUCCUUAUGAAAGAAUCUAGAAAAAUCAGAAGCAAGGAAUCGAUUCUGUGGACUCAAACUAAUACAUGGACAGUAACAUUUUAUUCAAGAAACAGUAUCCCAGUCACAUAAGAGAAAAUAAAAACAUCAGGAGUCACGUCAAUCAAAAGGCUCUGUUGAGUGGCAAACUCGGUCUGUGGAUGGACCCAAUUAUCUGCAGGCGAACUGAAUGUCAGCAUCAUUUAGGGUUAACAAUGGACCAGCUAGGCAAAAGCAGACAGCUACUCUCUGCAGAGACCCGGAAAGCAAACUUGGUCUGGCAAACUGAAACAUCCAAUACACUUGCGACAGACAGACUAGAGUUGCUGCAAAUCCUACAGUCCCAUGAAGUGAAGGUGUUAAGUGUUUGGUGUUAAGGACGGACCUUAGUAAGCAAGCCUCCUUCUUGCUGGGGGAGUGGAGAUUCUGCCCCUAAAAAUGAAAUCAGCAUAUCAGUGUCCACAGCCUCGCGCAUUUCCUUUGGAAGGUCGGAGUUCCUCGGACUACAAACAAGAGGACACAAGGGAGAGUGGGAACCUUGAAUCUGGAAGUUUUCAUGAGAAGGGAAAGGUUCCAGGUGGUAAAAAAUAGGAUGGGUCUUGCUCAGCAGAAACAGAGGUGAGAAGCCAGGCAGGCAAGGGGCAGUGGUUUCAGCUCAGUUGCCAAAGGCUAACUGUAAACACCUGAUGCUCUUUGUAUUUUCUCCAGUGAUUGUCUUUCCCUUUAUCCUUGCUAUUGAAAAUGUAUUCUGUUCAGAGGACCAGAGAACUUUGUUGCUUGGGCUUAAGUUUUAGAGAAAAGCAACCACAGAACCCCAAACUGAAUAACCCAAGGGGAAAAGUGAGCAAGAGACCAUGUAAGAAUGCUUUUGUAUACUUCCACUCCUCUCCACUGGAAAAGCUCCCUUCAGAGCUCAUCUGUGUAAAACUCUGGAAAUGGAAAAGAAAGAUCAAAACAUGAAAAGGAAGACCCUUCUUUUUCGUACUUGUCCAGGUUCACAGAAUCCAGGGCCAGGACCCCACCUCCUACUCCUACUGCUGUUUACUAGGUAACAUUCUCAGUUACCUUAAAGCUGAAUUAUUCAAUCCUAAUUCUUGAAAAAUCCUAAACUUCUUCAACCUCCUACACAACUAAGAGUAACAUCCCGUAUAGAGCGUGGUCUACAUUCAGGUAAAUUCCCCUUUAACACUAGGUUGUUAUAAGUGGUGAAUUUGAAUGAGUGAGGGUUGAAAGUAGGAAAAGUAUAAGGUGAUAGCAGAGAGUCCAGAGAGAGACAUUUCGGUGCACGCACAAGAGGUCGUUUUCUUUGAUUUAUGGUUUUUUACUAUGUUGACAGUUGGAUACAGAUAAGGACUGAUUCUAUUUACGUAUCAAUAGCUGGAGUUACAGCUUGCCUAAAUAUACGCUUAUAGUUAAAGAUCAAAAAUAGCUUUAACACUUUUCAUGUUUCUUCAGAGCGUGUGUGAUCACUUUCAAUUGAUUCACCAGCUGAUUAUUGAAAGCCUGUUUGUCAAGCAGUGGGCAGGAGCUGGGUGGACAGUUGAACCAGGAGCCUCAACUCUUCUACUCUGUGUCUCACCUUGAAAUUGUCACAUGUUUACUGCCACCAUCACCCCACAGUGGUUUUCAGAGGACUUCCACAUACAUUACUAAACUUGAGCCUCAUGACCAUCUUUGUUGAACAGAAAAGUCCCCCAUUUUUCAAACCAGUCGCAAAGAGAUUGAGUGACUUGCCCAAUAACUGUUAAUCAGCGUCCAGCUGUCCUCCUCCCAGUGCUGUGUUCUUUCCAACCAGGAAAACCCAUCACUGACAUCUGAAAACUGUGGAAAUAAGUUAUAUGGAAAGCCAAUAUGUUCCCUGUACAAGAGGCAACAUUACGUGAUAACACUAAUUUGGAUGUGGGUCUUUUCGGAUCAAUUUAUGAUCUCUUCCUGUAGUCAGCUAUAAAGUGUUUGUUUUUGCUGCCAUCCUAUAUUUAAAUAUAUUUUUAAAUACAAGAACUUAAAAUGUAAAGUUGUAACAGAGGCCAAAUAAAAACAUGUAAAAAAAUUUUUUUGUUGUAUUUUGUAGACAGAGGAAGAAGAUGUGCAGAAAAUGCCAGAGUCCCUUUUCAAAACCUUUUCGCAAAUCAAGUAAAACAAAAUCAUUUCGUGCAUUGUAUAUUGAAGCCAAAUAGUUUUUAUUCAAGUUACCAAAUAAAUUACAUUUUCUAUUAAAGGGCAGUAAAUUCCCAUUUGACGUAAAACUUCAUUAUAUCAACUAACUUGGAGGUACCACAGAACCUUUCAUUAAAUGCAAACCUGACCACGUCACACCCCGUUUAAAACUCUUCACUGGUACUCCCAUCCACUCUUACUAAAUCCAGUGAGUUUUUCCUAUUUGCUUAACAAUUAUUCCUAGAAAUUAAGUCCUGUGCUCUCUGAUAUCACAGGAAACUCUCAAAUGAAAUUCAGUCACCUUGGAAGUGACAGCAAAAGUAAGAAACUUGGUUGAUAUCUGAAAGUCCAAACCACAGAGCACAGCAAAGACCUCCCUGAUCUGUCCCCUCUGUUCAUCCGUGUCAUGACUGCCUGUGGAGGUCCUCUGUUCACACUGCAGCGAGACCAUACUACUGCCCUCCAGGGACCAUUGCUGCUUCAAGCCCUUGACUUGUUCUCUUGACUUGAAGACAGCUUUUUCCCAAAGCCUCUGCCAAGUAUAUUUCCAUUCAAGUUUCAUCUCAAAUAACACAUGCACUAAGAUUCCUUUCCUAAUUACUAACCAUGGAUAAUUGUAUUCUCACAGUGUCC
ensembl:lncRNA